rnacentral:rRNA from 1 species
UUGCUAGAAUUUAGAUACAGGUGCUGCACGGCUGUCGUCAGCUCGUGUCGUGAGAUGUUGGGUUAAGUCCCGCAACGAGCGCAACCCUUGCCUUUAGUUGCCAGCAGUUCGGCUGGGCACUCUAAAGGGACUGCCGGUGUUAAACCGGAGGAAGGUGGGGAUGACGUCAAGUCCUCAUGGCCUUUAUGACCAGGGCUACACACGUACUACAAUGGCCGAUACAAAGGGCAGCGACACUGCGAGGUGAAGCCAAUCCCGUAAAAUCGGUCUCAGUCCGGAUUGGAGUCUGCAACUCGACUCCAUGAAGUUGGAAUCGCUAGUAAUCGUGGAUCAGCAUGCCACGGUGAAUACGUUCCCGGGCCUU